rnacentral:lncRNA from 1 species
GUUUGCAUUCUGGGUGGCUCUCUGGGCUUGGAUGAGAAUUCUCAGCAGUUUAAUAACCUGUACAACUGACUUUUGAUAAUAAUUUUAACUAUUUCGUUAUGUUUAGGCUAUAGCCUAGUGCUCGUGUUAUUCAUAUUUGAUGAGAUGAUUCAACUGGCAACAUUGAACGAAAGUCUACUCACUUAUUAUAGUAGUAACAUUGAACUACAGGCUACUCACUUAUUCGCUACCGUGGUGGUGGUAGGCUACAUCGUCCAUCUUAGUCUCUCUCUCCCCUUCCCAACUCCUCUGUCUGUCACACACGCUCUCUCUCACUCUCUCUCUCUCACACACAGUCCUGUUGAGCAAAUGAGCGCAGCUCCUAUUCGGGUCUUUGGAUUUGCAGUGAGUGGCAUGUUUCAGAGCGUCUAGCUCUCUGACCAGCUUCUGUAUGUACAUGCAUGGACAGGACACGAUCUGAACCACUAUCGCAGACCACACUUGCAUCAAAAGCGCAUGGAAAGACUCUGAACACUGCAUUUGUGCCGCUUGAUGAAUGUGUUCUAAAGCCCAUGUAUGCUAAACGGGGAGCAGUGCUCUGGUUUCUCCAGUGGGACCAAUGCAACCAAUGCAACCAUAUGAGUGAUGACAGGCUGAGGCUCCACUGGGGGGAAAGGAAAGAGACCAAGACCCAAGAGAUAGCCUCAGUGGUCCCUAACUCUCUAACGGUAAGGGUAGCAGAGGAGACAUACACGAGGCAGUGUGUUCAGAAGAACCAAGGGCAUUUGGGCUGCGUUACCCCUUUAGCCCUCUAGUGGGCGACCUCCUCUCUCAUAUCAGGCCUGGAGGGACAUGGCCAUCUAAAAGACUCCUCUCUCUACCACCUUCCACCACUCCCUCUAUCAUUCUCUCUUUUCAACAACGUAAC